UACGUAGGGCGCAAGCGUUGUCCGGAAUUAUUGGGCGUAAAGAGCUCGUAGGCGGUUUGUCGCGUCUGCUGUGAAAACCUGAGGCUCAACCUCGGGCUUGCAGUGGGUACGGGCAGACUAGAGUGCGGUAGGGGUGACUGGAAUUCCUGGUGUAGCGGUGGAAUGCGCAGAUAUCAGGAGGAACACCGAUGGCGAAGGCAGGUCACUGGGCCGCAACUGACGCUGAG
rnacentral:rRNA from 1 species